UUACAAAUGGUUGUAGCUUUUGAUUGAGAGAGGUUGUAGCUUGAAAAUGUUGUAGUUUGGAAAUUUUAUGUGGCACACAAAACUAUAAGUGAUUGUAGCUUACCAUUGUAGAUGCUCUAAUACCGCCAGCAAAAUAUCUUCGCUCUCCGAACUCUCUCUUCCCCUCUCCUCGAUCUUCUGCUUUAACCUUUGAAUCUUCAUUAUUCAGAUCUUCUUUCUCUCCUUACAGCCCAAAAAACUUACUUAUUUCUACUUCUGUUGUUACACGUUGCCUAUUAUGAAAAUUCGCAUCAUCAAGAUCAUCUCCAAAUUUUAGAGUUGCCACACUCUCUCUCUUUCUCGCUUUUGGUGUUUGAAUAGUCUGUUGUUCAACAAUGAGAAUUAAGAGAAGUUGCUGAAGAUGGAACUUUAAAAUUUAUUUAGGAAUCUUCUUGUAAUAUAAGCAAAUGGGUACUGCUCAAUUGUAAAAAAGAACCAUUCUUUUGGUGAAUCUUUUGCCGCUGCUCCGUUUUUGUGCACUUUUAUGAUGUCAAUUUCGAGCACGAAAGAAAACGGGGUGGAUGGGCACGCGCAACAGGUUGGGGGCACAGCAGAAGGCGCAUCUCCAAUGGGGCGGCGGAGCCGGUGGAUGGACUGAACCUAAUCUUUCUCUCUCUCCUGUUGUUGUUGCUGCUAUGCUUGCUUUGACAUGUAUAGGUCCGUCGAUGGUGGAAUGAAUUUACCUUAUAAUGAGUUGAAUUUUCUGUAAAACGAAGCACAAAAGUAUUUUCUUUAGCGAAUUUUGGUGUUUAUAUUUUCCUCGGACGAGAUCUUUCUUCGGUUAAAUUGUGUUUUUUUAGGGGCGUUUGGUUCAUAUAA